rnacentral:rRNA from 1 species
ACGAGGGGGGGCAAGCGUUGUUCGGAUUUAUUGGGCGUAAAGGGUGCGUAGGCGGUUUGGCAAGUCUUGUGUGAAAUCUUCGGGCUCAACCCGAAGCCUGCACAAGAAACUGCCGGGCUUGAGUAUGGGAGAGGUGAGUGGAAUUUCCGGUGUAGCGGUGAAAUGCGUAGAUAUCGGAAGGAACACCUGUGGCGAAAGCGGCUCACUGGACCAUAACUGACGCUGAGGCACGAAAGCUAGGGGAGCAAACAGGAUUAGAUACCCUGGUAGUCCUAGCCCUAAACGAUGAUUGCUUGAUGUGGCAGGUACCCAAUCCUGCCGUGUCGAAGCUAACGCGAUAAGCAAUCCGCCUGGGGAGUACGGUCGCAAGGCUG